GUUAACUUUUAACUUUCUUUUAUAUGGUCAUACCUAUCCUGAUGGAAUCUACAAUAUCGCCUAGGGUUGGCUCAGCACAGUUUGCUUAUAGAUGGAUUUAAAUUGUGCACCAGAUGGAAGCUGCAUUUGAUUAACAGAAGAAAUAUCUCUGAAAAUUACAACAAGAGUUUAAUUGUUUCCCCCUAGAGGAUGAGAAUAGUUUGGUUGUCACAUAGAGUCAUUCAUCUGUUGCUUAAAAUUUGCAAAGAAACAAUCAAUGCCUCAGCCAAGAACAUAAGAACAAUUAAAAUAUCUCAUCACUUAUUUAUGACGCAACUUAUUCGCAGCUUAAAGUGGGAAAAGUAAGAGCAGAUGUUUCUGAAGUCCAUUUAACUUGUAUUCACGGGACCGCUUAAGAAGAGUAAUCGGGUUGUUGGCUUCAAGAAUUGAUGUGACUUGAUAGUGGAAAACAAAACUCAGAGCUUGUACAUUGAAUAGACAAUUGUCUGGCAGUCUCACAAAAUGCUUUCAAGAGACAAAUUUCUGAGAAACACUAAACCAAUGUGUGACACAAGGAUCCCAUCUGCCAUUGCUUUUUUUGGACUUGAAAACUAUUUCGGUAUUAUGUCUUGAUGCUAUGAGACUAAAUUUGGCUUCACAACCCUCAAACAAAUGGGACAGAGAAUACAGUUUACUUAAAGUAUUUUAUUACAGGUACCCAAAAUUGAUCAUAUUGUAUCACUUGCACACAUAAAUAGAAACUGUAAUGUAGACAAGGUUUCAUUAAAAUUAAAAGCAAACAGACAAUAUAUAUUGAUAACCUUUAUGCUGUAACAUCAUCAAUAGUGUUGUAUUAGCUGCAAAGCUCCUGUCCUAUUCUGUUACAAAUGUUAACAUAAAAUUCUCCUCCCCUGUUAUGUAGCCAGGAUGCCAGAAUUUAUGACUAUGAAUAUGAAAAAGAGCAGUAUAUGCAACAAUAGGGUCAUAAUUUGCAGUGGAGUGGAAAGUACCCUGAAUGCACAUCCAUAAACUACAUAUCUAAGACGCUCACCUAAAGGAAGUUUGAU